AGUUGUGUACAAUGUAUUACCCUGAAGAUCAAAUUAAAAGCAAUCUAAUUAUGCAGGUUAAGACAGUAUUAGUAGAUCGAAAGUAGAUUUUUAUCAAAGAUCAGUUUACUAAUUCUCAAAACAGAUACAUGCAUAGGAUUCCUCCCACUGAAUGAGUUUCAUCAUAAAAGGAUAAAACUCCUAUACUGCAGAAAUCUCCUAUAUUCUCAAGACUUUGUCAUAAAGGAACACAGCUGGCUUAAGAAAUUAAUGGGUAUCA
rnacentral:misc_RNA from 1 species